rnacentral:tRNA from 1 species
GUGGCCCGUUGGUCAAGUGGUUAAGACACCGCCCUUUCACGGCGGUAACACGGGUUCGAAUCCCGUACGGGU